rnacentral:rRNA from 1 species
CCUACGGGUGGCUGCAGUGGGGAAUAUUGGACAAUGGGGGCAACCCUGAUCCAGCCAUGCCGCGUGAGUGAUGAAGGCCCUAGGGUUGUAAAGCUCUUUUAUGCGGGAAGAUAAUGACGGUACCGCAAGAAUAAGCCCCGGCUAACUUCGUGCCAGCAGCCGCGGUAAUACGAAGGGGGCUAGCGUUACUCGGAAUCACUGGGCGUAAAGGGUGCGUAGGCGGGUCUUUACGUCAGAGGUGAAAUCCUGGAGCUCAACUCAAGAACUGCCGUUGAUACGUAGGAUCUUGAGUCCGGAAGAGGUGAGUGGAACUGCGAGUGUAGAGGUGAAAUUCGUAGAUAUUCGCAAGAACACCAGUGGCGAAGGCGGCUCACUGGUCCGGUACUGACGCUGAGGCACGAAAGCGUGGGGAGCAAACAGGAUUAGAUACCCCAGUAGUC